GGGCGUUUAGCUCAGCGGUAGAGCGCCUGCCUUACAAGCAGGAUGCCGGGGGUUCAAAUCCCUCAACGCCCA
rnacentral:tRNA from 1 species